UGUGGCGAGCAUAACCCGUGUGGGGUAUGCGUAGCGAAGGCGAGUCUUAAAAGGCGUUUGAGUCGCGUGUCCUGGACCCGAAGCGGGAUGAUCUAGCCCUGAGCAGGUUGAAGCGCGGGUAAGACCGCGUGGAGGACCGAACCCACCUGGGUUGAAAACCGGGGGGAUGACUUGGGGCUAGGGGUGAAAGGCCAAUCAAAUUCCGUGAUAGCUGGUUCUCUCCGAAAUGCAUUUGGGUGCAGCGUCGGGUCAUUACGUCCCGGGGGUAGAGCUACUGGAUGCUUGCGGGCCCGUAUCGGGUACCAACAGCAACCAAACUCCGAAUACCGGUGACGCGUAUCCCGGCAGUGAGUCGGCGGGGGAUAAGCUUCGUCGUCGAAAGGGAAACAGCCCAGACCGUCGUCUAAGGUCCCGAAGCGUGUGCUAAGUGGGAAAGGAUGUGGAGUCGCAUAGACAGCCAGGAGGUUGGCUCAGAAGCAGCCACCCUUGAAAGAGUGCGUAACAGCUCACUGGUCUAGUGGUUCCGCGCCGACAAUGUAGCGGGGCU
rnacentral:rRNA from 1 species